GGGACAUGGGAUCAACCUCAGCUAUCUGUUUCCGGUCUAUCACAACCUUACCUCUUAGCACCAAUCACAGCCAUCCAGGUUUGUGUUUUGCAUCAGUCAUUGCUUGCCUCUUUACUAACAAUCCCAGCAAUCCCCUCACUAGGCCACCAGGGGAGGUACUCCCUGUCUGAACUAGGUGGGCAUGAUUGCAGGGCUCUCUAGAGUUCACUAGGUGGGCAUGAUUGCAGGGCUCUCUAGAGUUCACUAGGGCUUGUGAAAGUUUAAGUCCACGACAAAGCGUUCCAGAAAGCACCGCCUGAGGCUGCAUCUUUGAGACCUAAGGCAAUGACUAAGAGCUUCACAUAGGUUCUGAAGGUGGCCAUGGAGUGUUUGGGAUGGCUGGAUCUGACAUAAAGGGCGUGCAGCUGCUUGCUUGACUGAUGGUCUCUUCUUAUUUUUAUUUUUUUAUUUUUUUGCUUCAGGCAGCCAGGGCGGAAAGAGACUAACUACUUCUAAUUAGGGAGUUAAUUUAUGUAUCCACCAGAGUGUUUGUUUAUUUACAGGAACUUGAGCAUCAUGAGGGUGCUUACGAAGAGAAUGUAUCAUUCUCUUUCUUGCGAGUCUUUAUCUCAGAAUCUAGGCUUCCAUGUUGUCAGGAAGCCCUGGCCCAACAUGAAGUCAUGAGCAGUAAACUAUGAUAUAUGUUAAGUGCAGACUAUCACGCAGACAUUAAAAGAUAUUGCUUUUGAAGAACCUAUGGGGCUGGAGAGAUGGCUCAGAGGGUAAGAGCCCUGUGUGCUCUUCCAGAAGUCCCGAAUUCGAGUGUCAGCAACCACAUGAUGGUUCAUCACUAUCUAUAAUGAGAUCUGAUGCCUUCUUCUGGCCUGCAGGCAUACUUAUAGGCAGACUGCUGUAUACAUAAUAAAUAAAUCUAAAAAAAUCUAUGGUAUAGCUUGAGGACAUAUUUUAUGAUAUGGUAAUAUUUAAACAAUAAGACAAAACUGCAUAUCUAACAGAAUCCCCAUUUUGUUUUAAGGACUUGAACAUAGGAGAAUAGCCAGCAGGAAACACAGCGACAUGAUGAUGUAAUAGGAUUAGAGGUAAUUUUAAGUAAUUAUUUUCCAUUCCAAAAUUUCUAUAGUGAUUGUAUGAUAUUUGUAUAGUCAGAAAUAAAUGAUAACAUCUAAGGAUAACAAUCCCUUCUUUCAUUUCCUUGAUGGUGUGUGUGUCUCAUCUGUUCCAGUUUCUGACAUGUGUUAAGUAGAGAUUUCGUCUUCACUCGAGGAAGCAGCUACAAAUAGAUGGUGGUAACUGGAAAGUUGGCUUUAUCAGAGCUAAUCUGGAACAAACAGGCUCUGGUCAGGCUCUCAAGAGCCCGAUCAGCUUUACUUUCUUCUCCACUUAUGUAAGCUUGACCCUCAACCUUAUUUCUUCCUGCUGACAACUGAAACUCGAUGCUUUCUGGAACAAUCUCCCAGAGUCUCUUCCUG
rnacentral:lncRNA from 1 species